UCCUACGGGGGGCAGCAGUGGGGAAUAUUGCACAAUGGGGGAAACCCUGAUGCAGCAACGCCGCGUGAGUGAGGAAGUAUUUCGGUAUGUAAAGCUCUAUCAGCAGGGAAUAGAAAAGAAGGUACCUGAAAAAGAAGCCCCGGCUAACUACGUGCCAGCAGCCGCGGUAAUACGUAGGGGGCAAGCGUUAUCCGGAUUUACUGGGUGUAAAGGGAGCGUAGACGGCAGCGCAAGUCUGGAGUGAAAUGCCGGGGCCCAACCCCAGAACUGCUUUGGAAACUGUGCAGCUGGAGUGCAGGAGAGGU
rnacentral:rRNA from 1 species